UACGAAGGGUGCAAACGUUGCUCGGAAUUAUUGGGCGUAAAGCGCGCGUAGGCGGCUUGGCAAGUCGGAUGUGAAAGCCCACGGCUCAACCAUGGAAGUGUAUCCGAAACUGCUGAGCUUGAGUACUUAAGAGGAUCGCGGAAUUCCCGGUGUAGAGGUGAAAUUCGUAGAUAUCGGGAGGAACACCAGUGGCGAAGGCGGCGAUCUGGGAAGAUACUGACGCUGAGGUGCGAAAGCGUGGGGAGCAAACAGGG
rnacentral:rRNA from 1 species